rnacentral:rRNA from 1 species
UACGUAGGGUGCGAGCGUUAAUCGGAAUUACUGGGCGUAAAGCGUGCGCAGGCGGUUAUGUAAGACAGAUGUGAAAUCCCCGGGCUCAACCUGGGAACUGCAUUUGUGACUGCAUGGCUAGAGUACGGUAGAGGGGGAUGGAAUUCCGCGUGUAGCAGUGAAAUGCGUAGAUAUGCGGAGGAACACCGAUGGCGAAGGCAAUCCCCUGGACCUGAACUGACGCUCAUGCACGAAAGCGUGGGGAGCAAACAGG